UUUUAGCCCCGAUAGAGGCGGUAUCCUUUUUUUGUGAAAAAAGAUAAAGCCGAAAGCGGGAUUCUGC
rnacentral:sRNA from 1 species